AUUGAACGCUGGCGGCAGGCCUAACACAUGCAAGUCGAGCGGAUGAAGGGAGCUUGCUCCUGGAUUCAGCGGCGGACGGGUGAGUAAUGCCUAGGAAUCUGCCUGGUAGUGGGGGAUAACGUCCGGAAACGGGCGCUAAUACCGCAUACGUCCUGAGGGAGAAAGUGGGGGAUCUUCGGACCUCACGCUAUCAGAUGAGCCUAGGUCGGAUUAGCUAGUUGGUGGGGUAAAGGCCUACCAAGGCGACGAUCCGUAACUGGUCUGAGAGGAUGAUCAGUCCCACUGGAACUGAGACACGGUCCAGACUUCUACGGGAGGCAGCAGUGGGGAAUAUUGGACAAUGGGCGAAAGCCUGAUCCAGCCAUGCCGCGUGUGUGAAGAAGGUCUUCGGAUUGUAAAGCACUUUAAGUUGGGAGGAAGGGCAGUAAGUUAAUACCUUGCUGUUUUGACGUUACCAACAGAAUAAGCACCGGCUAACUUCGUG
rnacentral:rRNA from 1 species